ACACCGGCGGCCCGAGUGGUGAUCGUGAUUAUUGGGUCUAAAGGGUCCGUAGCCGGUUUGGUCAGUCCUCCGGGAAAUCUGAUAGCUCAACUAUUAGGCUUUCGGGGGAUACUGCCAGACUUGGAACCGGGAGAGGUAAGAGGUACUACAGGGGUAGGAGUGAAAUCUUGUAAUCCCUGUGGGACCACCUGUGGCGAAGGCGUCUUACCAGAACGGGUCCGAGGGGGAGGGACUAAAGCGGGGGGCACAAACCGGAUUAGAUACCCGGGUAGUCCCAGCCGUAAACGAUGCUCGCUAGGUGUCAGGCAUGGCGCGACCGUGUCUGGUGCCGCAGGGAAGCCGUGAAGCGAGCCACCUGGGAAGUACGGCCGCAAGGCUGAAACUUAAAGGAAUUGACGGGG
rnacentral:rRNA from 1 species